rnacentral:rRNA from 1 species
ACCCGCUGAACUUAAGCAUAUCAAUAAGCGGAGGAAAAGAAACCAACAGGGAUUGCCUUAGUAACGGCGAGUGAAGCGGCAACAGCUCAAAUUUGAAAGCUGGCCCUUUUAGGGUCCGCAUUGUAAUUUGUAGAGGAUGAUUCGGCGAGGGCUCCUGCCUAAGUCCCCUGGAACGGGGCGUCAUAGAGGGUGAGAAUCCCGUAUGCGGUAGGUUGCCUUAGCCAUGUGAAUCUCCUUCGACGAGUCGAGUUGUUUGGGAAUGCAGCUCUAAAUGGGAGGUAAAUUUCUUCUAAAGCUAAAUACCGGCCAGAGACCGAUAGCGCACAAGUAGAGUGAUCGAAAGAUGAAAAGCACUUUGGAAAGAGAGUUAAAAAGUACGUGAAAUUGUUGAAAGGGAAGCGCUUGCAACCAGACUUGUCCGCAGUUGCUCAGCCGGUCUCCUGACCGGCGUACUCUUCUGCGGCCAGGCCAGCAUCAGUUCGGGCGGUCGGAUAAAGGCCUCGGGAAUGUGGCUCCUCUCGGGGAGUGUUAUAGCCCGGGGUGCAAUGCGGCCAGCCUGGACUGAGGAACUCGCUUCGGCAAGGAUGCUGGCGUAAUGGUUGUAAGCGGCCCGUCUUGAAACACGGACCAAGGAGUCUAACAUCUAUGCGAGUGUUCGGGUGUCAAACCCGUACGCGUAAUGAAAGUGAACGGAGGUGGGAACCCGCAAGGGUGCACCAUCGGCCGAUCCUGAUGUCUUCGGAUGGAUUUGAGCAAGAGCAUAGCUGUUGGGACCCGAAAGAUGGUGAACUAUGCCUGAAUAGGGUGAAGCCAGAGGAAACUCUGGUGGAGGCUCGCAGCGGUUCUGACGUGCAAAUCGAUCGUCAAAUUUGGGUAUAGGGGCGAAAGACUAAUCGAACCAUCUAGUAGCUGCUUCAAAGGGAGUCCU